rnacentral:rRNA from 1 species
AUUGAACGCUGGCGGCAUGCCUUACACAUGCAAGUCGAACGGUAACAGGUCUUCGGAUGCUGACGAGUGGCGAACGGGUGAGUAAUACAUCGGAACGUGCCCGAUCGUGGGGGAUAACGGAGCGAAAGCUUUGCUAAUACCGCAUACGAUCUACGGAUGAAAGCAGGGGACCGCAAGGCCUUGCGCGGACGGAGCGGCCGAUGGCAGAUUAGGUAGUUGGUGGGAUAAAAGCUUACCAAGCCGACGAUCUGUAGCUGGUCUGAGAGGACGACCAGCCACACUGGGACUGAGACACGGCCCAGACUCCUACGGGAGGCAGCAGUGGGGAAUUUUGGACAGUGGGCGCAAGCCUGAUCCAGCCAUGCCGCGUGCAGGAUGAAGGCCUUCGGGUUGUAAACUGCUUUUGUACGGAACGAAACGGCUCUUUCUAAUAAAGAGGGCUAAUGACGGUACCGUAAGAAUAAGCACCGGCUAACUACGUGCCAGCCGCCGCUGUAAUAC